rnacentral:rRNA from 1 species
GGCCAGACUCCUACGGGAGGCAGCAGUAGGGAAUAUUGCUCAAUGGGGGAAACCCUGAAGCAGCAACGCCGCGUGGAGGAUGAAGGUUUUCGGAUUGUAAACUCCUUUUGUUAGAGAAGAUAAUGACGGUAUCUAACGAAUAAGCACCGGCUAACUCCGUGCCAGCAGCCGCGGUAAUACGGAGGGUGCAAGCGUUACUCGGAAUCACUGGGCGUAAAGAGCGCGUAGGCGGGAUAGCAAGUCAGAUGUGAAGUCCUAUGGCUUAACCAUAGAACUGCAUUUGAAACUGUUAUUCUAGAGUAUGGGAGAGGUAGGUGGAAUUCUUGGUGUAGGGGUAAAAUCCGUAGAGAUCAAGAGGAACACCGGUGGCGAAGGCGGCCUGCUGGACUGCAACUGACGUUGAGGCCCGAAAGCGUGGGGAGCAAACAGGAUUAGAUACCCGAGUA